ACCGCACUCACGUUGGAACGACCGAGUGCACCAAACGCUCCGGCGCUGCAGGAUGUGGCUGCGGCCGAUUAGGUAGACGGUGGGGUAACGGCCCACCGUGCCGAUAAUCGGUACGGGUUGUGAGAGCAAGAGCCCGGAGACGGAAUCUGAGACAAGAUUCCGGGCCCUACGGGGCGCAGCAGGCGCGAAACCUUUACACUGCACGACAGUGCGAUAAGGGGACCCCAAGUGCGAGGGCAUACGGUCCUCGCUUUUGUGUACCGUAAGGUGGUACACGAAUAAGAGCUGGGCAAGACCGGUGCCAGCCGCCGCGGUAAUACCGGCAGCUCGAGUGAUGACCGAUUUUAUUGGGCCUAAAGCGUCCGUAGCUGGCCGCGUAGGUUCGUCGGGAAAUCCAUCCGCUCAACGGAUGGGCGUCCGGCGAAAACCACGUGGCUUGGGACCGGAAGGCUCGAGGGGUACGUCCGGGGUAGGAGUGAAAUCCCGUAAUCCUGGACGGACCGCCGAUGGCGAAAGCACCUCGAGAAGACGGAUCCGACAGUGAGGGACGAAAGCUGGGGUCUCGAACCGGAUUAGAUACCCGGGUAGUCCCAGCCGUAAACAAUGCCAAUUAGGUGUGGCACCGACUACGAGUCGGUGCUGUGCCGUAGGGAAGCCGAUAAAUUGGCCGCCUGGGAAGUACGUCCGCAAGGAUGAAACUUAAAGGAAUUGGCGGGGGAGCACUACAACCGGAGGAGCCUGCGGUUUAAUUGGACUCAACGCCGGACAUCUCACCAGCAUCGACUGUAGCAAUGAUCAUCAGGUUGAUGACCUCUAUGUUGAGCUACAGAGAGGAGGUGCAUGGCCGCCGUCAGCUCGUACCGUGAGGCGUCCUGUUAAGUCAGGCAACGAGCGAGACCCGCACUCUUAAUUGCCAGCAUCGCGUUCGCGCGGAUGGGUACAUUAGGAGGACUGCCGCUGCUAAAGCGGAGGAAGGAACGGGCAACGGUAGGUCAGUAUGCCCCGAAUGUGCUGGGCUACACGCGGGCUACAAUGGCCGAGACAAUGGGUUCCUACCUCGAAAGAGGAUGGUAAUCUCAGAAACUCGGUCGUAGUUCGGAUUGAGGGUUGAAACUCACCCUCAUGAAGCUGGAUUCGGUAGU
rnacentral:rRNA from 1 species